UGCUGGAGUCGAUUAUUAAAGAUGUUAUAGCAGUGCAUUUGGAAAGCAGUGAUGGGAUUGGUCAAUGUCAACAUGGAUUUCAGAAGGGGAAAUCAUGCUUGACUAAUCUUUUGGCAUUUGUUGAUGAUGUAACAAGUACCAUGGAUAAGGAAGAGCCAGCUGAUGUGGUGUAACUGGUUGGCAAACAGGAAUCAAAGAGUGGAGAUGAACGGGUGUCUUU